rnacentral:rRNA from 1 species
ACUGGUGUUCGGGUUGUCAUGCCAAUGGCACUGCCCGGUAGCUAAAUGCGGAAGAGAUAAGUGCUGAAAGCAUCUAAGCACGAAACUUGCCCCGAGAUGAGUUCUCCCUGAGACUUUAAGUCUCCUGAAGGAACGUUGAAGACGACGACGUUGAUAGGCCGGGUGUGUAAGCGCAGCGAUGCGUUGAGCUAACCGGUACUAAUGAACCGUGAGGCUUAACCUUAC